rnacentral:rRNA from 1 species
UACGAAGGACCCGAGCGUUAUCCGGAUUUAUUGGGUUUAAGGGUGCGUAGGCGGAUUUACAAGUCAGUGGUGAAAUCUCCCAGCUUAACUGGGAAACUGCCAUUGAAACUGUUUAUCUUGAGUACAUUUGAGGCGGGCGGAAUGUGUCAUGUAGAGGUGAAAUUCUUAGAUAUGACACAGAACACCAAUUGCGAAGGCAGCUCGCUAAACUGUAACUGACGCUGAGGCACGAAAGCGUGGGGAUCAAACAGG